rnacentral:rRNA from 1 species
GGUGCAUGGUUGUCGUCAGCUCGUGUCGUGAGAUGUUGGGUUAAGUCCCGCAACGAGCGCAACCCCUAUCCUUAGUAGCCAGCGAGUAAAGUCGGGCACUCUAGGGAGACUGCCGGGGACAACCCGGAGGAAGGUGGGGAUGACGUCAAAUCAUCAUGCCCCUUAUGAUUUGGGCUACACACGUGCUACAAUGGCGUAAACAAAGGGAAGCGAACCUGUGAAGGGAAGCGAAUCCCAAAAAUAACGUCUCAGUUCGGAUUGUAGUCUGCAACUCGACUACAUGAAGCUGGAAUCGCUAGUAAUCGCGGAUCAGAAUGCCGCGGUGAAUACGUUCCCGGGUCUUGUACACACCGCCCGUCACACCAUGGGAGUCGGAAAUGCCCGAAGUCUGUGACCUAACCGCAAGGGAGGAGCAGCCGAAGGCAGGUCGGAUGACUGGGGUGAAGUCGUAACAAGGUAGCCGUAUCGGAAGGUGCGGUUGGAUCACCUC